UCCAGACUCCUACGGGAGGCAGCAGUGGGGAAUAUUGCACAAUGGGGGAAACCCUGAUGCAGCGACGCCGCGUGAGCGAAGAAGUACCUCGGUAUGUAAAGCUCUCUCAGCAGGGAAGAAGAUGACGGUACCUGACCAAGAAGCUCCGGCUAAAUACGUGCCAGCAGCCGCGGUAAUACGUAUGGAGCAAGCGUUAUCCGGAUUUACUGGGUGUAAAGGGAGCGUAGACGGUGAAGCAAGUCUGAAGUGAAAGGCGGGGGCUCAACCCCCGGACUGCUUUGGAAACUGUUUGACUGGAGUGCAGGAGAGGUAAGUGGAAUUCCUAGUGUAGCGGUGAAAUGCGUAGAUAUUAGGAGGAACACCAGUGGCGAAGGCGGCUUACUGGACUGUAACUGACGUUGAGGCUCGAAAGCGUGGGGAGCAAACAGGAUUAGAUACCCCAGUAC
rnacentral:rRNA from 1 species